GCAGUUGUUUCUGUCUCUGGGCCAGGCAGAAGAGCUCUUGUGUGCCCCUUGCCCACUUUGACAAUGUAUCUCUGGUACUUGCAGGACUUGCUGAAGAAGUAUUACUUGGGCACCCCUGUAUCCCCAGUGCCCCUGAAGGUGGUUCUGGCCCUGGAGCAGUUGAGGUAAGGGCGGGAGUCACUAGGGUUGCAAGGCAGGAUGGUGGUCCCCCUUCUGGGUAGCUGCUGAAAGCCUGGAGGGGGUGAGGAGCUGCAUCUUUAAGAGAGAUGGCUGGGCUGCUGUGGCUAGUGAAGCUGAGAUUCUGGGCAGGGAGAAAUGCCUGGUGCUCCUGUCCCCUGUCAAGGAAGAGAAGGGAGACCUGGGGCCUUCUUCCCUUCAGAGCAGGAGCUGGUUCACUACUGCCAGGGAGGAGGCGGGCGCUACUCCAGCAGCACAGGCUGGGGGUGUUGGCUUUGCAGCUGUUGGUUAGGAGAGUCUCGGAUGUUGUCUGAUCCAGUCUGGAGAGCAGUGGUAAAGGCCCUUUUUGUUUUCUCUUCCUUUUUUUCCUCCUGUCAGCAAGUUGAAGCCCUCUUUAGGAAGCAAAGAUGUACGUGAAAUGUUGACUCUGUGCUGCAAGAACAUUGUGUCACAUCCUUCAGCAGAGAUGAUGCUGAAGAUCAGGGAGUCACAUCAAGCAGCACAGUACCUGCAGGUAACUUGCCGUAACUUUCCCAGCCAUCUCUGCGUCGGAACCCUACCUCAGCACACACAACCGAUGCUCCGGCAGCAGCCGUGAUGCCACACCUCAAUCCCCUCUCCUGCUUUCAGCUUCUGCAAACAUCGUUGAAAGCUCUGGGCCAGCUCAUGGUGGUCCUGCUUGAGACAGAGACCACCCGUGGCUUCUUCCAGAACAUAGUCCAUGUUCUGCAGAGAUCAGUGACCUCAAACAACGUGUGGGAGCGCAAGAGGGCCCUGCAGACCUGCUCCCAGCUGCUGGCUGCUUGUGAAGAGCUUCCGGUGAGUAAAGAGCCCCACUGCAUGCUCCCUGCUCCCUCCCCAGUGCUGGAAGGCGAGUUCCACCCAGCUGUGCAUGCUGUGUCAUGGCAUGGGGAAGGCACAGGC
rnacentral:lncRNA from 1 species